UAAGGAAUAUUGGACAAUGGUCGAAAGACUGAUCCAGCCAUCCCGCGUGCAGGAUGACUGCCCUAUGGGUUGUAAACUGCUUUUAUAUGGGAAGAAUAGCAUAGAUUCAUCUGUGUAUGACGGUACCAUAUGAAUAAGCACCGGCUAACUCCGUGCCAGCAGCCGCGGUAAUACGGAGGGUGCAAGCGUUAUCCGGAAUCACUGGGUUUAAAGGGUGCGUAGGUGGCCCGAUAAGUCAGAGGUGAAAGCCCGUCGCUUAACGAUGGAAUUGCCUUUGAUACUGUUGGGCUUGAAAUAGGUUGAGGUAGGCGGAAUGUGACAUGUAGCGGUGAAAUGCAUAGAUAUGUCAUAGAACACCGAUUGCGAAGGCAGCUUACUGGACCUUAUUUGACGCUGAGGCACGAAAGCGUGGGGAUCAAACAGG
rnacentral:rRNA from 1 species